GCUUACGGCCAUACCACCUUGAGUGCGUCCGAUCUCGUCUUAUCUCAGAAGCUAAGCAGGGUCGGGCCUAAUUAGUACUUGGAUGGGAGACCGCCUGGGAAUACCAGGUGCUGUAAGGU
ensembl:rRNA 5S_rRNA 5S ribosomal RNA